rnacentral:rRNA from 1 species
AAAUUGAAGAGUUUGAUCAUGGCUCAGAUUGAACGCUGGCGGCAGGCCUAACACAUGCAAGUCGAACGGUAACAGGAAACAGCUUGCUGUUUCGCUGACGAGUGGCGGACGGGUGAGUAAUGUCUGGGAAACUGCCUGAUGGAGGGGGAUAACUACUGGAAACGGUAGCUAAUACCGCAUAACGUCGCAAGACCAAAGAGGGGGACCUUCGGGCCUCUUGCCAUCGGAUGUGCCCAGAUGGGAUUAGCUAGUAGGUGGGGUAACGGCUCACCUAGGCGACGAUCCCUAGCUGGUCUGAGAGGAUGACCAGCCACACUGGAACUGAGACACGGUCCAGACUCCUACGGGAGGCAGCAGUGGGGAAUAUUGCACAAUGGGCGCAAGCCUGAUGCAGCCAUGCCGCGUGUAUGAAGAAGGCCUUCGGGUUGUAAAGUACUUUCAGCGGGGAGGAAGAGAGUAAAGUUAAUACCUUUGCUCAUUGACGUUACCCGCAGAAGAAGCACCGGCUAACUCCGUGCCAGCAGCCGCGGUAAUACGGAGGGUGCAAGCGUUAAUCGGAAUUACUGGGCGUAAAGCGCACGCAGGCGGUUUGUUAAGUCAGAUGUGAAAUCCCCGGGCUCAACCUGGGAACUGCAUCUGAUACUGGCAAGCUUGAGUCUCGUAGAGGGGGGUAGAAUUCCAGGUGUAGCGGUGAAAUGCGUAGAGAUCUGGAGGAAUACCGGUGGCGAAGGCGGCCCCCUGGACGAAGACUGACGCUCAGGUGCGAAAGCGUGGGGAGCAAACAGGAUUAGAUACCCUGGUAGUCCACGCCGUAAACGAUGUCGACUUGGAGGUUGUGCCCUUGAGGCGUGGCUUCCGGAGCUAACGCGUUAAGUCGACCGCCUGGGGAGUACGGCCGCAAGGUUAAAACUCAAAUGAAUUGACGGGGGCCCGCACAAGCGGUGGAGCAUGUGGUUUAAUUCGAUGCAACGCGAAGAACCUUACCUGGUCUUGACAUCCACGGAAGUUUUCAGAGAUGAGAAUGUGCCUUCGGGAACCGUGAGACAGGUGCUGCAUGGCUGUCGUCAGCUCGUGUUGUGAAAUGUUGGGUUAAGUCCCGCAACGAGCGCAACCCUUAUCCUUUGUUGCCAGCGGUCCGGCCGGGAACUCAAAGGAGACUGCCAGUGAUAAACUGGAGGAAGGUGGGGAUGACGUCAAGUCAUCAUGGCCCUUACGACCAGGGCUACACACGUGCUACAAUGGCGCAUACAAAGAGAAGCGACCUCGCGAGAGCAAGCGGACCUCAUAAAGUGCGUCGUAGUCCGGAUUGGAGUCUGCAACUCGACUCCAUGAAGUCGGAAUCGCUAGUAAUCGUGGAUCAGAAUGCCACGGUGAAUACGUUCCCGGGCCUUGUACACACCGCCCGUCACACCAUGGGAGUGGGUUGCAAAAGAAGUAGGUAGCUUAACCUUCGGGAGGGCGCUUACCACUUUGUGAUUCAUGACUGGGGUGAAGUCGUAACAAGGUAACCGUAGGGGAACCUGCGGUUGGAUCACCUCCUUA